GUCAGUGCGCUUGCGCCCGGCGUUCGUGUGUUUACUCGUUCGUUCGUUCGGCCGCUUGCUUGCUUGCUUGCUUGCUUGCUCGCUCGCUCGCUUGCUCGUUCGCUCGUUCGCUUCGCCGCAAAGUGGCAACCGGUGGUACCGGCCGCAGCGUCGCUGAGUAUUUAUGUAUAGACGAUGCAUCGCGUCACGUUAAUGGGUCCGGCCGCAAGCCGCGCGUAGUCGAGUCACCCCGUGGCUGCUGCGCUGAUGACGCACACUCCAGACGCCGCGACUACUUAACCCUUUAUUUAGUAAUAUUGCCCUGCGAGAGUGCGCAGCUCGCGGGCUUUCUUAUCUGUUCUCUGUCGCUUCCGCGGUCGAAUUCCGAUCACGCGGCUCGCAAAGCUAUGAAACUGCGAACGAUGCGACACUACAGCUGUGUGUUGCAAGCUCUCUCUCUCUCUCUCUCUCUCUCUCUCGCUUUCUCUCUAUCUCGAUCGCUCGCUCCCCUCUCGGUCGUUUCGUCUUCUAAUUCGCAAAGUGGCGUGUCGAGGUCGACUAUUCUUAUUUAUAAUUUAUAUAUAUACAGUUGACGAUCGUAGUCGCAUUAUAAUUUCUUCUGAAUUGUUCAACGACACCGAGUGGAAGGGGAGAAUCGAUUCCGUCGAAUCCUAUGUUUCGCGAAAAUAGACGAGAUCUUACGUGUCAAUUAAUUUUCUAUGCAUGUUGCAAGGGCUUCUAAUUUUGCAGUCGAAAUUCAGUUUUGCUAUACUUAUCAUAAUGCUGUGAUAUCAGUAUUUAACACAAUUCAAGUUCUUCAUGAACCAACACGUUUGCCUGGGAAAAAUCGCGAGGAGCAUUGAACACGAAUCUCCGAAGCCGAUAGAGAGAGAGAGAGAGAGAGAGAGAGAGACGUGAGCGAUGGGAAUCUAUUUCAGUUCUCGCACCUAUUACCGGGCAACUUGUAUAUCGUGUGUACCGUGCGCGCGAGUAUGACGUUGAGUAUGGCGCGCGGCGUAUCGUAUUAAUAAAUCAAUGCGUGUGCAUCGAUUUGCGCGCGCUGUCUGCGUCUUCUAUAGCUGCCAACGGCGUAUAUACCGGCGUGGCGGCUCCGGCGCACGUCGGCUCAUUUGUUACCGUCGAAAGGCAUGUCGACUUGGACUUGCGUAAAACGGCAAGAGCGGACCAGAUAAAAUCACCGCGAAGAUAAGCGCGCUGCCAGCACGUGGACCUUAAAUACGAGGCCCCGACUGACGAGACGGUCGGCUUGGCACACGGAUCGCGCCAACUCGCCCAACGUCAACGUCAUCGCGAUCAUCGUAUAAAUAAUAAGAGCACGCGUGGGACGCGCGUUAACGCGGCUGCAGCGGCGCGCAGCGUGUUUCCGCGAGAUCUACGGCAUUCGCACUCGCGACGAGCGUCGUUCUCUCCCCGUUAAUCCUUGCUCGGCGUUUUCGCGCGAAUAAUGCGGACCAAGCGAAAAGAAACUGAGGUCGUUAGCCAUCCGCGAGUUUUGCAGUCCCCGAAGAGAUGCAGCUGCGAUUCGCGCAAAAUUGCUGCGGCAGAAGUAUAGAAUAGAAUUGCAGCGACGAGAAAUAUACCGGCCGAGAAAAAUUCAUCCGUUUUCCCACGUUCUCUCUCUCCGGCACGUACCUACCUCCCUGCCCUAUCUCCCUUUCUCGCUGUCUCGCCAAUAAUAUCCCUACGCUGCGCUCUCGAUUAUAUGCCGUUAUCGCGAGUGCAUUUCGUCGUUGCAGCGCAACGUUAUGCCGAGGGCGGCUUCUCGCCGAGCCGUUAUCGGUCUUCCACUCAAUAACGCCGCACGGACGAAUCGCAUCGCACGCGCGCGAUAUUAUACGCGCGAGCCACGUGAAGUGUUAAAAGGCUUAUCUGUUGCCGCGAUGACUAUACGCACUUAACGAUCACGUUGCCCGCUCCGCGGUAAAAAACGCAGGUCGGCAAACUGCUCGGUGUCGGUGAACGAUGAGCGGGUGAUCGAUACGCGUAAAUAUAUACGAUGCGGCGGGGUAAUCUGCAUGAAUAUUCCACUACACCUUCCUUCCCUUCUUAGAUAAACGUUGCUCGCAAACGUUGCUGGCCCUCUGGUAAACGCGGUUGGACUCUCCACUCUUUUAAUUCCUUAACACAUCGCCAUCAUCGCGUGCUGAACACUUUCUAAAACGCGAAUCUCGAAAUAUUGCAGACGCGGCGGAAAGUUUAUGGGAAUUGAAGUUUCUUCUUAUACUAAUUAAAUAUUAAUUAGUCAAACAUUGAAAUCGACUCUGCAGACUUUAGCUCGUUUUAGACUAUGCAAUAUAUUGCGCAAGAUUUGACGCAAUUUUUAAAGCAAGAAAUAUUGCAGAAUAUCAUACACAUAGAUUCUUAUAUAACUGAUAUACGUUCUUCCAUGUUUUCAGUUUGUACAUAUUGCAUGUACAAGUACAUAUUGCGCAAAUCUUGUGUCAAAUAAAAUGUACAGCAUAAAACACAAUUCAACGGUAAGCAAUUCUUGCAGUAAACAAUUGCUCAAGAAAUUCCGUCAAAUCUAGCGCAAUAUAUUGCAUAAUCUAAAACGGGCUUUAGAAAAAUAAAGUAAGCAUUAAAUCACGCGACAAAAUCAUUAGCGUCUGCGAAAUGCUUAUUAUCACACUAGAUAGUUCUUUCAAACUUCGCCGACAUCGAAUGUGAAUGUAAAAGAAGGAGAUUAUGUAUACUUUAGACUGUGAGUUUAUCGUAAUAAAAAUCUGGCAGCACUUUAAGUGCAAACGGUCACGAUUUCUAUCUGUCGAUCGAUCUUCCAUCGAAAUUAGACGAGAUGUGAAAUUUGAGUUGAAGGUGGAGGCGAAUGGAACAUCGACAUCUUUUUUAUCAAUUUCCAUUUGAUCCCCGUCGGAAGUCAUUCUUGAUGCUCGACGGUGACAAUUCUUUUUAGUGGAUUUCCCGGAGAAUCUUCCGAGAAGAGGUGCAAUAAAGGUGAGUACUCACCCCGGCUUGACGGCAGUGUGAAGUACCUACGAGGCGCGUACGUAAGUUGCCGCGUUGUUGCAACAGGUGCACUCAAUUUGUGACCCUUCGCGACCUGCUUUUAUACGAUACAUAUAACUUCUGUAUGACACCCGCGCACACGCCGCGUUAAGAACGCCGAGGCGAGUCUCGCGUAUUCUCACGGAAUCGCGGGCGACAAAUUUAUGUCUUUUCUCCGGGAAAGCGUGACAAAAAUAUGUAUCCCACGUUAUCGCGAGUGCUGUCGAAACGAAUGGCAAGUCUGCCAUUAAUAAUAAAGCAGGCGCUGUACUUCGCUGUAUUCAUCGCUUAUGAGUUUCAAAACGCAUUCCGGCGGGCAGGUUUAAAAUCCUCGCGAAGACACGAGGGAGACGAAGAAGAGCGAGGGCGAAGGGCGCGAGAGUGGCGUACGAGGGGGUGGCACGAGGGCGGCAGUCCCGGAAUACCGCAUACAUCAUGCAUAUUCUUACGUUCGCACGCGUGCCGGUAAUUCCGUGAUUCGGCGGUGGCUGUGGCCCACGAGGGUGCCUUCGCUCGGGUAUUGUUGCCGCGUUAAUUUACGAGCCAAUUAAUUAGCACCACCACCGUGCUGAGAUAUUUCGCGGCCGGAACGCUGUAUGUGCGCGCGAACGGCGAGACUCCCGUAUUCUCGUCUGAAUCCGCGAUAUUUUAUAGCGCGGGAUAAUAUCGACAUUUCGACCAAUAAUCGCGAAAGUCUCCCCGACGGGAAGUCAUGCCGGAAAGAGCUCUGCGUUCGGAUACAGUCGGCAUUUUCGCCAUUCACGUGGAUGGAUCAGUUGCACCGAUAUCACUUGAGAGCAAUUCAUUGAACAACAUCUCUCCGUGUCUGUAUAUUUGCGCGCCAUUAAUUGAGACUGCAAUCUAGAAAAAGGUAGCAAAUUCAAAGACCUGUCGGGUUUAUUUAAUUUCAGACUGCUGUCGCAAUCGGGCACGUUUCUCUUUCAAUUUAUUGCCAUCGUUACUUUUACGCGAGAGAGCUGAAGUAUUCUCGCGUUGCCCUCUAUCUCUCUUUCUUUCGGCGGGCUCUCGUAAAAUCCUUGCGAGAAGGGAGCGGGAAAAUUCUUUCGCGAAAUGAGCGUCGGGGGGGUGCAAAUGUCACUCGUGCUCGCCGCGGACGUUAUGGAUGACACUGUCAGCGGCAGAGGGUCGACACGCUAGACGGAAUAACGUGGCGUCAGUGUCCGAGGGUGCAGAGUGCAAGAGACAACGAAUAAUUCAUCCCUCGCCCCGUUCCCACGGCUCGCCUCAUUCCUCCCUCGCCUCUUUGUCUCGAAAAAUGUGCUGCACAUGCCGCCGCGGUGAUAUAGCGCGCUUCGCGGCGUGUCCAUCAGGUCGCGUGUGCAUCUCGCACUCCACCGCAUUAAAGCACAAUCAGUCCUCGCGUUUUACCGGAAUUUUAAUCAACCAACUCCAUAAGGCCCAUUUCCUCCCGGAAAAUCCACUCCCGUGCAUCGGUACGGUCGAUUUAUCGAUGCAAGAAAAGAGAGAAGCGAGCUUUUCUCUCUGCGCGACGCGCAUCUAUUAAUCUACUCUAUGUAUUAUACUAAUAUUUCUACUCAAUUGAAGCGAAUUUAUAUUUUAUUGUCAUUGAGAACAAUCUGAACUGAUCUGACUAAAUCUGACAAGAUUUUCUAUGUCAAAUUAUAUCUAUGUCAUUUCCAUUCGUCAACGGACAAUUGGAAAGCUUUAUACACGACUUAUAACUUACAUUAUACGAGAGAUGUGUUUCAUUUCAGCGUUAUGAGACUGUUUUUUAAAUUAUUUAAAGCUUAUAUGUAUAAAAUGGCGAGUAUUUAUAUACAGAGAUGCAUAAAAAACAGGAAUGACAAUUUGAUGUGAUACUUGAUUAUUGGAUUUCCUAUAUACAGGUAUCAAGGAUGAAAGGGCACGUGAUUCAAGCAAAGAUCAGGAGUAGCAGGCGCGCAUCUGUAUCUUUUUUUUUUCUACCCGAACAGAUCAGUUCCUGACAAUGGAGCGCGUCAAGGUGCGCGGAUAGAUAAGCGGAAGAUAGCGAUAACGGUCGCGCGCCAAUAACGACGGCUGACGCAUGACAUGAUUAUUAAUCAUGUGCAGGUUGCGCGUGCAACUGUCAGCGCUGCGUAGGGUCCGAAGGGUGAUCUGACUAAUCGUUUCGCCAUUACGGAAUAAUGUACUCGCGCGAUGCUCCUUUUAUGCUCUCCCCUUCUCUGUCGCGCUCGUCCUCGCGUCAGGUCUAAUCGGCGGGCAUUCUUGCAUCACUUCGCGCGCCGCUUACCCUCGCGAACGCGAACCGAAAAAUCGGAUUUGAUUUCGUUGCGGAAAUUGCAUCACAGCUCUUGCAUGACGAGCACACACAGAAUGCAUCUACGCGAUUAACGCUGAAAUUAGACGCAAUUUAACUGGCGUGAUAUUUCUAGAAGGAAAAUAUUGUGUAAACGUUCUAUAAACCUCAGGCAAAAUAAAUAUUUUAGCAGAGAAUGAAAGGCGAGAGCGAUGGGCUCUUGAUGCAUUUUAUAUCAGCGUUUAUUCAAUCUGCGAUAAAUAAAUAAAUUUGCAGCUUAUAAACAAGUCAAGUGGACAGUUUAAAAAAGAAAAAUGUAGAAAUGCUCACCUAACAAUCUCGAAACGACUUUUUAUUAAAAGUUUACUAUAUAUUUUUUCGUUUAACCUACUUUACAAACUUCAACUUUUUAUCUUAACCAUUAAAUUUUUACAUAUAUUCGUAUCAUUUUUUAGUGUCUUCAAUAAUAUGGGUUGUAACACAUCAGUUAAAACCAAUAAAUAAACGAAUAUAUGUUACAACCUGAUACAAUUUAUUUUCGAUAUAUUUCAAUAAGAUAAUUCCUAUUUUUAAUAUGAAAAUUUUUUGAUUUUUUUCAAAUAAUUUAGCUACAAUUUUGGUAGAGUUUACUAUUGCUUUUCGUCCAUUCGUCGACGGAAAUUCUUCAUAAUGGCCGCAGUUUAUUUUUUCAGGGAUCGAGGAAAUAAUGUGUCGUAAAGUAGAGAAAAAGAAAUGGAACAACAGAGAGAAAGAGAAGAGAUGAGACUCGGCUUACGGAUUUCGGUCGUUUCCGGUAAUGCGAAAACGAGAACGACUGGAUUCUCCGAGGCAGGAUAUUUUGCAAAGAGAUAUAGAAUCCCCCUGGUAAACCAACAGAGUCCUCCCCCGGUAUCCUGAGUCUCGGCGGGGGUGUACGUGUGCAUGAUGGUAGCUUUAACCCUCUCCUGUUAUCCCGGCGCGAUGCUUACUAAUGCGGCAAUAAACAUGCAUCUACAUGAGGCACGGGGCCGUAAACUGCACUCCGUCCCAGAGACGAGAAAGGGAAAACGACACGUGCAAAGCAACCGAAGAACUUCGCGCCGUUCAAAAAGCACCCCUAAAACUCACAUCUGUAACCGACGUUCGUUAAUGAUAAAAAGAAAAAUACUACUAAGAAGCUAUUAAUCGAGAGAAAGUAGAAAAAAUCAAAUUUAAAGAUCGUAAGAAACUUUUGCUGAAAUGUAGAAGGGAUCUAGGUUCAUCGACGAGUCCGUGAAAUAAAAAUUCGCGAGCUACGUGCGGGGAACAAAGCGGAGACGCAAAGAACACCGCGUCGGCUCGACGGCAAGGUAAGACAGCAGAAAUUUCUGUGACGCGUUUGUCGAUAGUGGUGGUCGUUUUAAUAUAAAAAUUGCUUUCGCGUGACGUGGCGGCGUCCCGGGAUCCGACUGUUUCUUCCGCGCGGCGGACUUUGUCGGCCGGGACUGCGUGCCGAGCAUUUCAAUCCGUUUACGAGCAACCUUCUCUCGCAAAACGCGACAGCGGCACGUCCCUUCUUCCGUCCCUCUCGCAAAUUGCACGCGGACGCGCGGUUAUUUUAAAAGAUUGUCUUCUGCAGACCGACGUCUUUAAUCUCGUGAUGCGAGAGAGCUCUCGUUCCGCACUUGCGAUUAUCCCCCUUCCCUCUUGCGUUAAGCGCAAGCACGUUGUCUGAGAACGUUUUUACCGCUUUUCUGACGAAAAACCUAAAAUACCUGGAAAGUGCACCUGGGAAUUACUUCUUUAUGCAUGUAUUCUUUCUAAGAGCGUCUCACAUUGUCUCGCGACAAAUUUGAGAUAAAGUUUUAUUAAUUCAAUGAAUACUCGAAAAUUUUAUACAACGUAAAGGUUUAUAUAAAGUUUUAUAUAACGUGAACUGGUCUUUUGAAUCUUUCUAUUCGUGGUAAGGAUGAAUGAAUUUUAUGGAGCUGUCCUGAAUCAAUGAACCAAUUCUGACGCGCAAAAGUUUGAAUAUAUCUUCACAUAGACCGGUGGAUAUUGUCGGUUUCGUUAAUUCCCGCGUUAAACAAUGCACUGCCGUUACGUUUUGUUAUUUUUGCGGCUGGUCGCAAGUUCCAACGAGACCUCUCCAUCGGCGUCGUGUGGCGAACCAUGGCGCUGCGUCCGACAAGCGUGUAAUUCGUCUACCACGAAAAGUCAUCGCGCCGGAAAAAAACGUCGCGGCGAGAGUUCCCGUAAAACUGGCAAAGAAGGAGAGAAGAACAGGAGAGAAUUCUCGCUCGAUUUCACGUACAUUGGUAGGACGACGGGAAAAAUCGAUCUCGGCCGGAUAUAGUCUGUUUCAGGCGAGGUAAGCGCGUCUCGAUGUUAUUAGUAGCUCCUGAACAUGCUACACAUACAUGAAUUCCCAUUGUUUGGCAUUUAUAUAUAUAUAUAUAACUCGGAUGAGAAAAAUGUGGAACAUUGGACGAGAGCAACUGAAUAAUUCAACUCUCGAUCUGUCGAUCGAGAUCCAUAAUUAAAAACGUUUCGAAAAAUAUCUAUCACCUACAAAAAUCAAACUGUCUUUAUCAGCCAUAGUGUAAAUGCAUCUAUUUCAUGUAUAAUAAUAAGAGAGCUAAACAAAAAUGUUUCUUCAAAGUGCAUUUCCACUCACGCAAUCAUAUAUUACAAACAUGAUCGGCCCGAUUUUCGCCGAUAUUGAAUACCCUCAAAUAGAACGGCGACUUAAGCGAUCGGAUUAACGAAGAAGGCCCGUUUGUGUGUUUUUCCGCAUAACGAUGUUUGCGGAAUUUUUAGUCGAUCGACAUCCAGAUGACGGCGUCUGGCAGCUGGCCAGCACUGGGCUAGCCUUCAACAGUGCCUACUGUGUCUUCGACUGGUUUCACCGGCUAAUCUUCGCAUAACACUCGGUUGCCCUAAUAGAUAUUGGGAGAUUUAUAUCGGCCGGCAACCGAAAUUAAUCUAGCGAAAAGCUGAGACCUGCGCCGGGGGAGUCUGGGUUGCGCCGAGGUUAAUAUAAGUUGCGGCCACCCGCCAUGGAAAAACGAGCACCUGCGGCUACGUAGAGAGUUUCCGUCGGGAUGGAAUUGGAUCCGCGGAUGUGCAUAUCCCAGCGAAUAUAUACGUUCUCGUUUAACUCUUCUCGAUAUAUCUAAUUCCACGGUAGGUGAGACCAAAAGCGAAAGUUGUACGAAAUUCAUCGUGGGAAUGCAAGUGCCGGUUUGCGCGCAUUCGGAUGAAAUGUAAUAUCGAUUGAUCUCGAAAUAUUUAAUUGCGGUUUCCUCGUUUCAGGGAAACCACUACAGUCGAGAAUUAGCGCUAACUUUUGCCAAAUUGGGAAACAAUAAAGCAGGAAGUGCAAUCUGGUGCACAAUGUUUUGUAGAAUAUGCGCAAAUAUGCGAGAAACAAGCUUCACUAACGGAAUUCUGGUUUAUCGUUUAUUCGAUCGGGUGAACUUUUAUUUCCAGUCCGGAAUGUAAUAGUUACGAAUGCUGUGUCUAAUUUUUGGGGUGAACCGUCCCUCCCACGAAAAGAAACCUUGAAAGAAAGAUUCUUCCAUUUCUUGUUUUUAUUCGAGGUUGCGGUUUCCCGUAACGGUUCUCGUAACGGCACGGAACAAUCUACCUCCAGCUCGAUUAUCGUAUCCGUUAAAAUUCGUUUGUCAUUGACACCGACACUCUGAAUCGUAAAAUGCGACGAUUCAGAAGGCAAUGACGAUCAGGUCUUGAACGAUCCAAUUCGUUGGAAUAUCGGCGAUUCGUCCUAACGGUCUCUCGAGCAGAGGAUUGCAGUUUCUGUUUCAGAUAGGAGAACGCUUUCAUCGCACUUUGUAGAAACUGCGACCGUGAAACAGCGAUCGUACAUCGUUUAUAAAAAAUGAGCGGAGUACUUAGAAAUCCACGUUGAUCCCUAAACAAGUUGAAAAAUCUUUAAUCCGACGCUCGCGCGAGGCUUCUCGGAGCAAUCCGAUUGCGAAACGAUAAAGGCAUUAUUUUCGUUCGGAAUAUCGCCUGACCUGCAUUCUCGCUCGCACAGUCAACCGCAAAUUGGCUGGCGGCUUUUCGCGUUUUUCCACCAGUCGAUAUCAAGUCUGCCUCUCUCUCUCUCUCUCUUCCCCGCUUUUCUCACAACAUUUCAUACAGCCGCGCCCUAACGACCACCUUUGACCCUGUGUCCAAUAUCCGUGGACGAGCGGAACGACGGCAACAAAAGGAAGAAGGAAAAAGAGAGAAAAGAAAACGAGAAAAGGGAACAAGAAAGUUCUGUGCUUGACGGCUUCUCGCACGGCUGAUUGAGCCGUGGUGGUUCGAACGAUUUAAUGGACGACACAAAAAUUAUCGUCGCUUUUUCCGGCCGCGUGGCUCAUUGUUGCCAGAAGACCGAAUUUAUCGGCCGGAUCGGAGAGACCCCCGGUCGGGAUAGCUGCAUCGAGAUGGAUGGAUAGAUGCACUACUCUCUCUGUGCCGCGUGCAGCAGCAGAGAACGCUUCGAUUUUCGAUACGCUUGACGACGGCGAAGCUCGCUCGUACGCUCGCCCUCUCGCGCGAACCAGCAAAUAUUUUUCGAUUCUGUUAUAAUCUACUUACCGCUUAACGUCGUUCCAUCCGGUCGCUUUGAACAAAGCUUCGUAAAAUAGGUCGUUACACGUGUAUAUUGCAAAUGUAAAUGUUUUUAUUCAGUUUAUUCGGACUUAAAGCGCAUGUUAAUUAUUAAAUUCUUCGUGGCGGAUGGCAAUCGUUGUGGCAUUUUGCGUGAAUUACGCGGGACGAAAUUGCGAAGCUCGUAUCAUCAAAAUGUCUCGAUGUGCUUGUCCGCGUCACGUGCGCUGUAACAUGGGCAACGCGUGGGCACAUAUGAGACAUUAUAUUGUUCUAUUUCAGUCUUUUUUUUCCCCCGGGAGUGUGUGCGAAAGGUUGUAAGUCCAAACGGCCGGCAUUCAGAUUGGAACUUGGCCAGAAACAAAUAAUCGGCGUCCGGCGACGAUAGCUUUGUAACGCGAGUGAUUUUUGGUAUUCAAGAACAUUGUAUUUGCCACUUUUAGCCGGCGGCGGCCCUACGAGCCCGGCGAGCCCUGCAAGUUCCGCAAGCUUCGCUGGUGCAUGUACGGUUACCUCUCACAAAGCUGCGGCAGCAUGCAAAUUACGUUCCCUGCCACGAGAAACGUACGACGACACAUGCGCGCCCGCGCAUAUUGCUCGUGAAUGGCUUUUAUGGUAACCCGAUAAUCGAAAGGAUGUUUCAUUACGGAAUAAGAAUCAAUUACCAUCGUACACCGGCUAAUAUUCUAACGCAUAACAAUUUUUGUUUCGUCGAAUAAAAGCACGUCUGUCAUGCAGAUACGGUUCGACUUUUUGCACAUAUUAUUUUAUGAUCGUUUCCUUUUCUUCCUUUUUUUAAAAUGAAAAUAGCAGCAUGGUUUUAAACAAAUUAUUGCAGUUCUGUCGUCCGAUUAUUAUUUGGUUUCCGGUUCUAUUAUUGCUUCUGUUCUGUCAGUAUUAGAAUUUCUGUGAUACACAAAUGCCUGUUAAAAAAAGUUAAAGCGAGUUACCAUUUGUGAUAUUUUGAAAAUAGAGAUUCGCUCUGAAAUUUCUGAGCCAGAACAUCUAAACGUAAAAUUCAAUUUGAUGUUGCAAGAGCUGGAAAAAAUGUAAUUCUUUAGUGCAUCCACUGAAAUACACUAAACUAAAUUAAAACACUAUUUUGACUAUUUUGACACUAUUUUUGCUGUAGCAGAAAAGAACAUGAUAAUAAAUGCAGCUUCGCAGCACUUUGUUAAGCUGUUCGAAUAAAAAUUCCCGGAAGUUCUAUUUUCAAUUGGAUUCGAAAAUGUUCGAGGAAGAGGACAGAGAGGGGGAAAAAGAGAGAGAGAGGAAGCGAAAGCGUGCCUAAUCUACGGCGGGAGCGUUAAGCGCAAACUGUUCCGGUGGAAGCUCACGAAGCGCAAACAGAGAUCGGUUGCUUCGGUACUCAACUGCUCUUUGCGGACGAUGAGUAGUACAAGAAGAGCAAGAAGAAAAAGCGCACAGAGGAAGAGAAGAAAGCAAGGGAAGGGAAGGUGGAGGUGUCUUGUCCUGAAAAGCUUCGCGUAAAAUUGCUCGUAAAAUUCAACUGUUUUCGUCGCGCCUCGCCGAGACACUACAUACGCGUUCGCGAUGUUCUUUUAUGAGCGUAAAAUUUUACGGCACAUAUGCGACACGUUAGAAUACAAGCACGCGCCGAGAAGGAAAGAAAGAAAGAGAGCAAGUGUAAUAUUUUCCACAUCACUUUGAUUGAAAAUUCAGUUUUGCGAAGAGCAGAGCACCGCACUAACGCAAUUCACAAACACAACAGCAUUACGUUGUUGCACACGCGGCUCGAAUACGAUUCACCUGACAAUGAGCUUUGAUCCUCUUUUUUUUCUUUGAGCUACCUUUCAGCGAAAACAUCGGCAAAAUGGUACCCGGCGUCAUUUGUGUUCGGGCAUUUGUGUUAUUUCACUAUGUACGGUCGGAAGUGCAGCUCUCGGAAAAAGAAUCAAAAAGUUGAAAAUACGAACGCACAGAUAAUUGAAUCGGACACAUCUUAAGUUUCAAAGUGCUAAAUCGCGAUCCCGCAAUUCUAACGUAACAAUUUCCCGUGGCACUUUUGCGAGAUUUCGUCACAAGAUUCCUCCUUUUUUUCUCUUUCUCUUUAUUUUUUCUUUUUAGUGCGUCGCGGUGAAAUACGACGCACUAGUCGAGGGCCCGGCCAGCCGAAAGGUAAAAAGUACCGUGCAAAAGAGUCUUUGUGGAUGAGGUAAUAAAAUCUUCCUGUCUCCUUGAGCAUAAUGAGCGGCGUUCCGACAACGGGGGUAAGAAAGGACGGGCAGACGAGGAUGACACGACCGGGAAUUAGAUUUGGCCUCCCGCGCGUUCCUCCCGGACGGGAGAUAAAGGGUCCGGAGGGGUUUUAUCUCCUCGCGUGAUUAAGCCGCGAGGUAGUAUAUCAUCGAUUAUAUCCUCGUUAGACUAAGUAGUCUAACGGCGACGGACGUGUCCCCGCGUGCGGAGGAGGGUAACAGGAGGGCGCGGACGGAAGCUGAAGCGGAGAUUCGUCUUUUCCCGUGGGUGCUCACGCGGAAAGAUACGCGUCUCCUCUCUCCAUUCGCACCCUCGUCCGAGCUGCAUCAUAUUUCGAUUUACGUUAACGCGCCGCGAUCGAUAAUCGAGGGCGGUUAAGGGAAGAACGGGUGUUUAUUUAAUCGUCUGUAUCACGGCGAUCCGGAGGACAGAAGAUUCACUUUGCGGCCCUUCGUCAUCGCACAAAUUGAUAUUAAACAGCCUAUUACCGUUAAAAUGUGCCCGAGUGUAACUAAUUUCCCUACGCUUAAACGGUUCCCGAACCUUUAAUGAUCUUAUAGCGAUACUGCGGCCGCGGAAUUGCGUUCUUUUUUUUCGAUCGAGCUCGCCGUCGAAAAAUAUUUUCCCCCCGUGUGAGACACGACGUAUCCGUCCACGGUAAUGUGAUUGCAACUUUUUACACUUCACGUUACGGAAAUGCCAAGUCGAUUAAAUUUCACCGUGGUAAAUUUCAGCCGACGCUGAAGGAAAUCAAAGAGAAAGGACCACGCGAAACGGCAGAACCCUUCGAGACUUGAGCACUUUGCUUCUCCCCCAUGCAUCCCCAAUGCACGCGGCACUUUACGGAAGCCAUGGCUCAGCGUUUUCACCUACAGCUACAGCAUUACUUUCCCGGAGCUGAAGAGUCCUUCAACGUGGAGAGUGACGGACGCGAAUCAGCCUGACUGACUGAUAUCAAUAUCAUACGACUCGAUCGGAAAGUUUUUCGACGGUUGGUCAAAAAACGCGUGUGUGUGAGAAUCAGUGUAGGCAGUUUUAAAUGUUCUUUAUGAAAUUAUCCAUAAAGAAUAUUUGCAAGUUUUUUCAUUGAUCACUCUAACAAUAAGUUACAUGUUCGUGACACUCAAAGAGGACGAAUCUCAAGAAAGAGAGACUUCGCUCUUGUUAGCAUCGAGUAUCUUAGCAUGCCACAGAGAGUCCGUCGACACGAAGAAGGGAAGCAUUUAUCUGUCUCUGCAUGAAACAGAAAGGCGAAGUUACGUCGAGGCAAGUUUCCCAAGUGGAUUAGUCGCGAGCCGGAUUAAGUCGCGUAGUCUAUUGUAUGACGGAUUUACUAAACUCCGGGAUAGAGUGGCAGAACCGCCAGGGGAAAGGGAGAGGAAAUGUUCGCCGACACGCGCAAUAUCAUGCGCAACAACCGGAAUUAGGUACGCUUCUUUAUUCGUUACGACAAUUUUAUGCGUACUGCUAGCUUACGGUAGAUUGCACGCACUACGUACGAAAGUCGAAUUUUUUUGUUAUUUGUACAAAUUUAACAGUUCGUAAUAGCGCAAUGGGAAGUGUGAUUAAAAUUUUAACGAUUUAAUUGAUCUUUACGAAAUUCAAGUUGAAGAAUUUCUUCUCGAAGAAAUAUCUAUGUUUGCACUAAUGUUCCUGCAAUCAGGAUCUUGUCGAUGAAUUUUGCAGCUUGGACAGACAUUCCCGCUUUCCGCGAGAGAGAAUCAUUUGCAGUUCUUUCCCGAAUCUGGACGUUAUUUAUUAACGUUGAACGUUAUUUGUUACAACAUUUCUUCCCGAUUCUGUUUGUUCGGAAGAAUAACGUUAUCGUGAUCUCUGCUCCGCGGAGAUGUGACUCCGUUCGCAAGGAGCAGAGGACAUUCUUAAAUCAUCGUAGAGUCGUAUAACAAGAUUUAGAGGACGCCUUCGUCAAGAUAAAUCAGAUGACGAGACCAGAGCAAAUACUCGAUGAGAGAGAAAGAGAGAUGCGCGAACGAGAGAAAAGAGGGUUCACACUUCAUAUAAAUUCUCCUUCUGUUGCUUUUUCUGUCGUUGAGCGGAACGUCGAACGCGAAAGGGGCGGCGAUAAACUUCACGAACAGAUCGCAUGCACGAUCAUUUGUGAUUUAUCUCGGAGAACGGUAGGUAAAUGGCACCACGGAAAAUUGAUGUGUAAUAUUAAGUGUAUGCAAGAGUUCAGUCAGUUUUUGCACGUUUUCGCAAAAACUUUAGAUGCAUAAUGUAUAUAGUGCAAUGACCAAAUUAUUUGCCAUUGUGUUUUGCAAUUUCUGCCAACUCUCAAUUUGUAAAUUUGGAAUUUGUUUGCGAAAAACGUUUUUUCGUCUCUUAGCCACAUUGCGAAAGUACUAUCCAGUUAGAAAGUACUGCAUCGAUUGGAAUAAGUGGUAAUCCGAAGGCGCCAAGUUGGAUGAAUAUACCACGGAAAAACUUUUCAGCCCAAGUCCAAAGUGUUCUGCUGAAUACGAAAAGCAUAUCUAUAGCUUGCCAUUGCUCAUCGCGUUCACUCAUUGUUUUUCAGAGUUAUAUUUACCAUUAAAUCAUGACAUAUAACGUUUUACAAACUUCAACUGCCAACUUUUCAAAAACGUAAAAAAGCGAGAAUUUAUUUGAAGUUUAAAUAAUAAUGUCAGAGCGCUGAAAAAAGACAUUUGCAUAAAAAAAUACUUGCACCUAUCAAAUACACAUAUAAUAGUAUAUCUGCUAAUGUCUGCAUCAUAACUCUGUAAUUUUGUGCGCUUAUCAAUGCGAUCGUGUGACAAAUUGCUCGUCAAGCAGAAUUAAUUAAUUAUUCAUCGUGUUCGUUAAAUUAUGCAAUCAUCGAUAUCAGUCCUGUAUCGAUGUUAUCAGCGUCAUUACCGUAAAUUGGAGACAGAUUGUUGUCUGUUAUCAGGAUCCCCCAUCUCGUCACUUACGGCAGUGCGUUUGAUUUGAAACUUUUACGAGCCGCAUCGCGUGCGUGACCGACGCGUUGCGGAAUACUUGCGUGGCACGACGUGGUUAUAAAAUCGUCCAGGUCUAAAGGACUUAUCCCCUGCUACGCUCUAUGAGCCGCGAACUUUCCUCUAACAAUAAGCAAUGACCGCCGAGAAGCGCGCGAGACGAAACGUGUAACCAGAGAUAUCAAUUAUGUCAAUAAUCCAAUUUUUUCCUCGAUUAUCCUGUUUUUCGUCGUCUGGCGGAUAAAUCUCGGCCGAAAUAGACGGACCGAUGAAAGUGUCGAUAAUUGAAGUAUCGAUAAUCACGCUCGGCAAAAAUGCAGCAGAGAUUCCCGUCCAUUACAACACAAUACGUCCAGACAGAAAUUGCAAAGAUCAGAAUAACUUCGAUUCACUGAAUAACCAAUUCGUGCUGGAAAUAUUGAUCUAACAAGACACAUUUGCGAAAAAAUUACUUAAACGCUACGAGUUUCAAGAGACACGGCAGUGUCUCGCGCCAAGUAUACGCGCAGCGAGACCGCACCGUGACACUUUUACGCGAAAUGAAUAUAACGAUAGAUUUAAACGGUGGAAUCGAAUUCAACGAGAUUGCGAGGAUAUCGAGUCGAAGUCGCGAAUUCACCGAGCGUUGUAAUCACGAUAUGGCCGCCCUAUGGCCAACUUUUAAUAAUAAUUUCUCCCUCGAUGUGGGUGCCGGUGUAUUCCCUGACCGCUUUCAACAUAUUUUCCCAGCGGCCCUGGAAUUUUUAUGAAAGUAAGUCGCAGGCCUUUAUAUACGGCCGCGAUAAAUUGUUAUAUUAAUUACGCGGCAUGGGGGAGGGAGAGGGUGUCGAGCUGGUUCUCUCUCUUCACGCGAUCUCUCUCUCUCUCUCUUCGGGAUGCGGCGUGAUCUAUGAGUCGUCUUUCCUGUCAAGCUUUCGUUAUGUUCUCGCCAUGACACCUAUCAGACAGUUUCCCGAUUAAUUUAUUGCUGCACUAUCUCGCGGGCAUCGAAAAUGCAUCGUUUAACGCAGUCUCCCGUCCGACACGAGUCCGCUUUCCUGAUUCAAUCGGCACCGAUGAUGUAUUAACGAGCUUUGUGUCCAUCGCCGUAAGUUCGCGUGUGAAUUAAGCCCGCAGGCCGAUUACGGUAAUCUCGCACGCUGAUCUUCCUCGCGUUGUCGCAUUCGAGCCCGCGAUUAUUUCCUCCGCGCUCCAUCACGACGAUUUGUUGAUACACGCUCGCGAUAUCGGCGCUUCUUGCCGAUGGAACGAAUGGAUAAACGACGCGAUCGAGGGAGAAAGAUGGAGCGAGCCUCGGCAAGAAAACUUGGCGAUUCUCAAUUUGCGGGGCUUAUGGAGUUACGCGAGAGUAGCGACCAGGGACACCUGGGUACCCUCGGUAAACGGUGAAAACUUGGGCGAACUUUCGCUCGGUGCGCGCAGGAACAAUCGAGACGCGUAAUAUCCACCUUAGUGAAUACACGGAGAGACUUCUUAAAACACGCGCGGAGACGGUGAACUCGGAAAAGCGCAAAGAAUUUAUCGGUGAGAUUUUCCGUUACGAGUUACUCGCCGUGAGCAAUGCCGGGAGAAUGGUAGAAAGAUUGUCGAUACGCUGAAAUCCGUUAUACGUAUCGCGCGAUGAUGGAACUCGUAUUACCGCACGUUUUAUCGAACACUCCGUGCACACUCCGGUGCGUUUCUUGUCGCUACAUCAAAGCGAACGUUAUCCGCUGCGAGAAGUGUGCGCCAAGUUACUUGACGGACGUAGAACCGCCUUCGUGUUUUCAGACAAGUUUGUCCUGAUUUUGGCUGGAGCUCCACGUUAAGAUACCGGUAAACUCGUUGCCAAGCUCCGCGAGACUCGCAACUUAUUAUACAACGAGCGUUUCUCGUGUUCGCGCAACUCGCUUUCCGGUUUCCUCGCGGAUCUCCCUCGCAGAAGCCUCCCUCGAGUUCUUUUCCUCCUCUUCCUCUUCUCUCCGGUCCUCCCGUAUUUUUGUCUUUUCCUUCGUCGUUACGUUUUUAUGCCAACAUUACGUCGCAAGUACGGUUUACACGGCGGGGCGAUGCUAUUUUUACCGGAAACGCGCGUAUCUCGGCGUAUCUCGAGGAAGCGCGUCAACGGCGAAAUAACGGUGUGGAGGAGCCGUCCUAGGCUCCGGCACAGUCGUAACUCACGAUUUCGCGAGGAUUCGCGGAUCGAAGCCGGCGAGAUCCCGUAAUAUCCCUCUGGAGGAUCGAACGCGCGGAGAAAAUGUAUGUGUAAAACCAUAUGUGGGACAGUGUCGGAGCGUCGGAGGAUUUGAGCGCCGUUGCGCGCCUCCCGGCCUCGUACGUUAUUUCGAGGCCUCCAUGCCUUAUUCCCUCUCCCUUUCCCUCCAACCUCAUCCACCCCCGGCCACCAGCCCCUUCAUAGACAGCGCGGUAGUUCCUUUCGUUCGAUACCGUGUGUUUCCAGAUGCUGCCUCGGCUUCGCGUCCUCUGUCGUAGACGGGGCAGCCGAUACUCGUCAGGCGGAAUAUAAGGCGCAAUCAAGAUCAGGAAUCGGGGAAAACGUAAUUUCGCGAUACGAAAAGGAAAUAUCAUAUUGACCCGGUUCAAAAAUGUAGCUCACCGGAUGCAUGAUGCUCGCCUGGAUAGAACGACGAAUCGCGCGGUACAUAUACCCUCUGUGUCGAUAAAAUCCAUCUUAAUCAGACGUUCUAUUAUCGAUGCACAUGACACGGCACAGUGCAAUCAGCGCUUUUAGACACUGAUAUAGGAUUUUUCGUUCUUUUUUCGUGCGGAUAUUUUUUAGGAUAUUGCAUCCUGCAUACGUUGCUUCGUGCGAUUUGCGGAUGACGAGUGACUGGCACAAUUUGCCAGAUUCCUUCGGGACUUGAGAUGAGAGCGGGAUUCGGUGACUGAUUAAGAAUGCCUGCGAGGUGUCCAGCGCCAUAAAGACUGUGGCGGAAAAUUAAUCUGGCACAUUGUGCUGCGUGCGAUGGGGAAGUUCGGUUCAAUUACGAGGGUCAAGCCCGAGAAACCUCGUAGGGGACGAUCGGACGGUAGAUGUGUCACGAUCGAAUCCGCAUCCUGCAAAUUGUUUCCCGCCAAUUGAAUCUCCUUUAUCUCGGCCGCGCGGUCCAGCCGAAAGCGUCCAUAAAAUCAUAACACUUGACAGGUAAGCAAAAAAUGAGUUAUGUAUUUUUAAGCGAAUUUGUCACUCAACGCGAUGCAACUGUAAAUUGUAUUUCCUGUCGAAUCGAUGAACAUCAGAUUUUCACGCGAUCAAUUUCAGCAAAAGAGAAUCUUGGUUGCUUAAAAAUUUAAAUACUCUGUACUGAAGUUAUUUUGCCUUUAUGUAACAUGACACAUGACCAAAUAAAGAAAUAAAACAACCGCAAUUUAAAUAGAACUAGCAUAAAUCAAGUCUAAACAAAGUUUCAAUUUGACUCUUUGACAAAUUUAACUUACUGUUUCUUUUUUUAUUUAUUUCAAAUCAACAGAUUUAUCAACAAGCAAUCAGGGAGCAAAAAUAAUGUAUACGCUGAGCGAUCGACCACUCCGUUACAUUUAUGGACGCAGGGCUGGUGUCGUCGUCAAGGGAACAAGGUGUGCAAGUGGCACCGUGGCAGAUGGUUUUAACGACAGCUCAAGUUACUAAAGGGUUCGGUUUUAGCGUCGUCGACCUUUCACCCCGUCGCAUCAUCGUGAGCAGACCUCUAAACGAUAAAGUAGCCAGCUAAUCGCUUCUACGCGGCUUCGUCAUACCUUGCGCGGAGAGGAGAUAAUGCACUGAUGCCCCGCAUGAUGCAACAGUGUACAGAAUAACUGAACAACCACGAUAUACAAGUUAUCGCUUUCCUCUUUUAAUGCACACAACGUCCGUACUAUCAUCGACGGGGCAAUAAGUCGGAGACGUGAAAAGAGCUCUAGGCGGCAACAAGAUUGACUGGUAGCAAAUAAAUCGUUUGACAAGAGAGACGAGCGAAGAGGAGAGAGAGAGACUGAUAGCCAUCACCGCUCCUUGUAAUUUGACAUUAGCUGUCUUCCAUCAGCGCCACUAGCUUAAUUACAUUCCACAAUGCCGGCCGCUUAUUGUAUUCUUGGACGGAGUUAUGUUUCCAACAAUGUGUCGCCGAGACUAAGGCGCGACAAUGACAAACUCGACAUGAACGAAAGAGGCGAGUUCGAACAAAUUACUUGGCGCACGUUGAACGUGACAGCAGCUACAGACGUAAGCAUGCAUAACUAUAACUCGUCAAUUAGUUACAAGUUGAGGUAAAGUUAAGAGUCCUUAAGACCCGCGGCCUGUCGCUUCGAGAGUUACGGUUGCACCUCUAGGAACGCCAAACGAGAAUUUUCGCUUCAUUAAAUCAGGUUGCGUGACAAUCAUUUGAUUAAAUCACGUAAAUUGUCUUGAAAUGUAACGUUAUAAAGCAGAUAAAAAGAUGAAAAUCACGAGAUAAUAAAUAUUACAGAUAUCACAUAACUAAUCAUUUUUGUCUCAAGAAAGAACGCUGUCAUAAAUCCAAAUGUAGGACAAUUAUGGAAAUUCAUUUCCAAUCAACAAGAAUCGUGAAAAUAUCAUUUUAUUUUCUGCAUAAUAUCGAGCAAUCUACCUUCGUAAAUUUAAAAAGUGUCAUCAAAACCUUAGAUGAUCGCGUUUCGCCGAAUUGUCUGAUAACGGAGGAGGACAGAGUUAAAAAAUGACACGUAGCGAGAGAUAGAUAGAUCAGAUCGGCAGCGCUGUCGAUCUAAUUUUAUCCGUGUCACGGUGGACCGAACCCGAAGAGGGGAGGGCUCUCUCUCUCCUACACCAUGAAAAGGGAAAACCGAGCUUUUGCGCAACCUGCCCACAGCGGGAUGGAAAAAGCUGCUCAUCGAAGCUUGCGACGAUGGCGACGGAAAACAGAAGCGAUCGACGUCAUCCGAGGCUCGUUAGGCUUCUGGAAGGCUUUGAUCGCUCGGCCGGAUGCCGUCUCUCACCGAAGAGAGACAAAGAGUGCACGUAGCGCGCUAUCCCGUCGAUCUAUUUGCGCGAGGAUGAAACGCGAAAUUUCGAAUUCGGUCAAAUCCCUCUAUGCAUCACCGCGUGUCAAUUUCAUCUCUCUGCUGUACUUCAUUUUUUUUUUCCAGAGACUGGACUGAUUUUGCGUGAAGAAGUAUAAGAGACGUCCAUUUUCCUUGCGAGAAGGAAUAAUUGCAUAUACAAUUUGAACGAAAACCAGAUUUUUCCAACGAUUGAUGAGACGUUUUACGUGUAACAAUAAAAUCUUAUCAUCCCGACUCAGAGUGACGAGUUUAGCGUCUCAGGAAUCCGGAGACCGAGUAAAAGAUGAAGCACCUAAUGACCAAAAAUAAAGGACGACAUGCUCGUUGCGAUAAAUUGUUCUACGCUCACCCUUUUCCCCGUCGAGUCCGAGAGCGGUGGUAACAGCGGAUCAUUUUCUGUGGCAACGUGGUUUUUUGCGGUGUUCGGAUGAUUAGAACCAGAGAUAGGAGGAGUUUGAGAACGGACACGAUAAAUGCGAAGACAUCUACGUAGUAAUCCAUCUCCCCGUAGUCCAUCAAAAAACUCACGUGAGCGAAAACGAGGAGUAGCUACCGCAUUUAGAUUGCAAUCGUAAAGCAUUUGCGCAAGAAUAUAUCAAUUAGUUCCAUGACAAAUAUUUAAUGUGCAGAUUUUGCUCACUCCAGAAGAAGUAAAAAUAUCGACUUACAUUCUUUAAGAAGAACAGCAAUUCUAUCAUCUUUUCGUAAAUAUUUAAUGCAGAUCUGAAUUAGUCGUUUUAGCAGGAACGAUAAUUAUCGAAAAUAAAUUCUUUAGAAGGAGACACUGUCCCACUUAUUUUAUUACUAGAUCUCUUUUUGUACGAAUCAUUGCAAGUAGAUAAAUAAAUAAUGCGAAAAAUUCAGAUGUUGAGACCACAGAGAAAUCUUGCAUUUUCGAGAUAAUUUAUCCGACUUUCCCGCAUGGAUUCAUGGAGAUCGUCUUAAUAUUUCACUUCACAGUAAAAAUUCCUGGUUUCCACGAAAGAGUAAUCUCCUACCGGAACGACCGGCUUGACUGUCGCGACAAUACGAGAAAAUCUCACGAAUGCUUGCAAAUGUAAUACGAGCAUCGGUAUUCGCGCGGGUUGGCUCGGUCAUCAAAACCACCCCCGGCGACACGCUCCUUUAGCCUUUUAAUCGUCGGCGACGCAUUCCCCGUGUACGCGAAUCGCAUGACCAGCAUGUAAUUAGCGCGCCUGUAAUUUCGCCCCGCGUAACGCACAUAAAGACCGCACCAAGGGUCAGAUGGUAGUCUAAAAUAAAAAAA
rnacentral:lncRNA from 1 species